rnacentral:rRNA from 1 species
CUGGGAGGACCAUCUCCUAAGGCUAAAUACUCUCUAGUGACCGAUAGUGAACCAGUACCGUGAGGGAAAGGUGAAAAGCACCCCGGAAGGGGAGUGAAAUAGAACCUGAAACCGUGUGCUUACAAGUAGUCAGAGCCCGUUAAUGGGUGAUGGCGUGCCUUUUGUAGAAUGAACCGGCGAGUUACGAUUUGAUGCAAGGUUAAGCAGUAAAUGUGGAGCCGUAGCGAAAGCGAGUCUGAAUAGGGCGUUUAGUAUUUGGUCGUAGACCCGAAACCAGGUGAUCUACCCUUGGUCAGGUUGAAGUUCAGGUAACACUGAAUGGAGGACCGAACCGACUUACGUUGAAAAGUGAGCGGAUGAACUGAGGGUAGCGGAGAAAUUCCAAUCGAACCUGGAGAUAGCUGGUUCUCUCCGAAAUAGCUUUAGGGCUAGCCUCAAGUGAUGAUUAUUGGAGGUAGAGCACUGUUUGGACGAGGGGCCCCUCUCGGGUUACCGAAUUCAGACAAACUCCGAAUGCCAAUUAAUUUAACUUGGGAGUCAGAACAUGGGUGAUAAGGUCCGUGUUCGAAAGGGAAACAGCCCAGACCACCAGCUAAGGUCCCAAAAUAUAUGUUAAGUGGAAAAGGAUGUGGCGUUGCCCAGACAACUAGGAUGUUGGCUUAGAAGCAGCCAUCAUUUAAAGAGUGCGUAAUAGCUCACUAGUCGAGUGACACUGCGCCGAAAAUGUACCGGGGCUAAACAUAUUACCGAAGCUGUGGAUUGUCCUUUGGACAAUGGUAGGAGAGCGUUCUAAGGGCGUUGAAGCAUGAUCGUAAGGACAUGUGGAGCGCUUAGAAGUGAGAAUGCCGGUGUGAGUAGCGAAAGACGGGUGAGAAUCCCGUCCACCGAUUGACUAAGGUUUCCAGAGGAAGGCUCGUCCGCUCUGGGUUAGUCGGGUCCUAAGCUGAGGCCGACAGGCGUAGGCGAUGGAUAACAGGUUGAUAUUCCUGUACCACCUAUAAUCGUUUUAAUCGAUGGGGGGACGCAGUAGGAUAGGCGAAGCGUGCGAUUGGAUUGCACGUCUAAGCAGUAAGGCUGAGUAUUAGGCAAAUCCGGUACUCGUUAAGGCUGAGCUGUGAUGGGGAGAAGACAUUGUGUCUUCGAGUCGUUGAUUUCACACUGCCGAGAAAAGCCUCUAGAUAGAAAAUAGGUGCCCGUACCGCAAACCGACACAGGUAGUCAAGAUGAGAAUUCUAAGGUGAGCGAGCGAACUCUCGUUAAGGAACUCGGCAAAAUGACCCCGUAACUUCGGGAGAAGGGGUGCUCUUUAGGGUUAACGCCCAGAAGAGCCGCAGUGAAUAGGCCCAAGCGACUGUUUAUCAAAAACACAGGUCUCUGCUAAACCGUAAGGUGAUGUAUAGGGGCUGACGCCUGCCCGGUGCUGGAAGGUUAAGAGGAGUGGUUAGCUUCUGCGAAGCUACGAAUCGAAGCCCCAGUAAACGGCGGCCGUAACUAUAACGGUCCUAAGGUAGCGAAAUUCCUUGUCGGGUAAGUUCCGACCCGCACGAAAGGCGUAACGAUUUGGGCACUGUCUCAACGAGAGACUCGGUGAAAUCAUAGUACCUGUGAAGAUGCAGGUUACCCGCGACAGGACGGAAAGACCCCGUGGAGCUUUACUGUAGCCUGAUAUUGAAAUUCGGCACAGCUUGUACAGGAUAGGUAGGAGCCUUUGAAACGUGAGCGCUAGCUUACGUGGAGGCGCUGGUGGGAUACUACCCUAGCUGUGUUGGCUUUCUAACCCGCACCACUUAUCGUGGUGGGAGACAGUGUCAGGCGGGCAGUUUGACUGGGGCGGUCGCCUCCUAAAAGGUAACGGAGGCGCUCAAAGGUUCCCUCAGAAUGGUUGGAAAUCAUUCAUAGAGUGUAAAGGCAUAAGGGAGCUUGACUGCGAGACCUACAAGUCGAGCAGGGUCGAAAGACGGACUUAGUGAUCCGGUGGUUCCGCAUGGAAGGGCCAUCGCUCAACGGAUAAAAGCUACCCCGGGGAUAACAGGCUUAUCUCCCCCAAGAGUUCACAUCGACGGGGAGGUUUGGCACCUCGAUGUCGGCUCAUCGCAUCCUGGGGCUGUAGUCGGUCCCAAGGGUUGGGCUGUUCGCCCAUUAAAGCGGUACGCGAGCUGGGUUCAGAACGUCGUGAGACAGUUCGGUCCCUAUCCGUCGUGGGCGUAGGAAAUUUGAGAGGAGCUGUCCUUAGUACGAGAGGACCGGGAUGGACAUACCUCUGGUGUACCAGUUGUCGUGUCAACGGCAUAGCUGGGUAGCUAUGUGUGGACGGGAUAAGUGCUGAAAGCAUCUAAGCAUGAAGCCCCCCUCAAGAUGAGAUUUCCCAACUUCGGUUAUAAGAUCCCUCAAAGAUGAUGAGGUUAAUAGGUUCGAGGUGGAAGCAUGGUGACAUGUGGAGCUGACGAAUACUAAUCGAUCGAAGACUUAAUCAA